rnacentral:pre_miRNA from 12 species
AGGCACAAUCCAGGCUUCUCUUAUGAGAUGACAUGCUUCUUUAUAUCCCCAUAUGGAUUAGGCUGCUAUGGAAUGUAAGGAAGUGUGUGGUUUCAGGGAGACAUCGCCCGUGUCCUCUGC